GAAGUUCCUUCCCUUUCAGCACCUCAUGACAACCUUCCUCUAACCCAGACCACCUCCAGCUCCCAGCCAUGAGCUCCUGAGAGGAACGUCUCUAACCAGACCUACCACAGAUGAUUGGAUAUCCAGCCCACAGCAGAGGCAGAGUGUUUCCCUCCUUUCCCAAUGAAUCAUGGGCACAACGCCUGGAGAUCACCCUGCCUCAGUCACCUGAGGAGGCAGCCAAUCUCUACAAGUUAUCAUGGCAGCCUCAUCUCACUCUACUUCUGCCUCCAGAUGCUCAUAAUGGGUGCAGGAGCAUUCCAAGUCCAGGGGCCCCAUGAACCCUUG